GUACAUUCAAAGAAAAAACUUGAAAACUUUAGUCCUCUCAACCGAAUGGAAUUCAAGCAAAUUUGCAAAGGAAACUUCGGGGAAAGAAGUUGCCAAUCUUCUUAUUUCUAUCCACUUUUGGAAUGAUGUUGUUCGGGCACUUACAGUUUGUAGCCCUUUGACAAAAGUGCUUCGUUUGGUGGAUGGGGAGAAAAAACCACCAAUGGGUUAUAUUUAUGAGGCAAUGGAUAGAGCCAAAGAAGCUAUUGCACAUGGUUUUCGUGGAGUUGAGAAGCAUUAUGAGAAAGUGUUUCAAAUUAUUGAUGCAAGGUGGUCAGAACAACUCCAUCGGCCUUUGCAUGCUGCAGGCCAUGUUUUGAACCCAGGAUUAUAUUAUAAAGCUGAAGAAGAGGGAACUUUAUUACAGAGUUUGUGGACCGAGUAUUAUGCAUGUGUUGAGAAGUUGGUCCGUGAUACAACAAUACAAGAUGCAAUAAUCGCUGAGCUUCCUAAGUACAAAAUGGCGGAUGGACUAUUUGGUUGUGGUCCGGCUAAAAGAGCUAGAGACACAAGGUCACCGGUUGAAUGGUGGUCACUAUUUGGUAGUGAAACACCAAACUUGCAAAAGUUUGCCAUGAAAGUGUUAAGCCUAACUUGUAGCUCAUCUGGAUGUGAGCGAAAUUGGAGUGUGUUUGAACACGGUUCCCCAUUACCAACACUGCUUGAUGAUGAUAUG
rnacentral:misc_RNA from 1 species